rnacentral:rRNA from 1 species
UGCCUAAUACAUGCAAGUCGAGCGGACAGAUGGGAGCUUGCUCCCUGAUGUCAGCGGCGGACGGGUGAGUAACACGUGGGUAACCUGCCUGUAAGACUGGGAUAACUCCGGGAAACCGGGGCUAAUACCGGAUGCUUGAUUGAACCGCAUGGUUCAAUUAUAAAAGGUGGCUUUUAGCUACCACUUACAGAUGGACCCGCGGCGCAUUAGCUAGUUGGUGAGGUAACGGCUCACCAAGGCAACGAUGCGUAGCCAACCUGAGAGGGUGAUCGGCCACACUGGGACUGAAACACGGCCCAAACUCCUACGGGAGGCAGCAGUAGGGAAUCUUCCGCAAUGGACGAAAGUCUGACGGAGCAACGCCGCGUGAGUGAUGAAGGUUUUCGGAUCGUAAAACUCUGUUGUUAGGGAAGAACAAGUACCGUUCGAAUAGGGCGGUACCUUGACGGUACCUAACCAGAAAGCCACGGCUAACUACGUGCCAGCAGCCGCGGUAAUACGUAGGUGGCAAGCGUUGUCCGGAAUUAUUGGGCGUAAAGCGCGCGCAGGCGGUUUCUUAAGUCUGAUGUGAAAGCCCCCGGCUCAACCGGGGAGGGUCAUUGGAAACUGGGGAACUUGAGUGCAGAAGAGGAGAGUGGAAUUCCACGUGUAGCGGUGAAAUGCGUAGAGAUGUGGAGGAACACCAGUGGCGAAGGCGACUCUCUGGUCUGUAACUGACGCUGAGGCGCGAAAGCGUGGGGGAGCGAACAGGAUUAGAUACCCUGGUAGUCCACGCCGUAAACGAUGAGUGCUAAGUGUUA